GACGAACGCUGGCGGCGUGCUUAACACAUGCAAGUCGAACGGAAAGGCCCUGCUUUUGUGGGGUGCUCGAGUGGCGAACGGGUGAGUAACACGUGAGUAACCUGCCCUUGACUUUGGGAUAACUUCAGGAAACUGGGGCUAAUACCGGAUAGGAGCUCCUGCUGCAUGGUGGGGGUUGGAAAGUUUCGGCGGUUGGGGAUGGACUCGCGGCUUAUCAGCUUGUUGGUGGGGUAGUGGCUUACCAAGGCUUUGACGGGUAGCCGGCCUGAGAGGGUGACCGGCCACAUUGGGACUGAGAUACGGCCCAGACUCCUACGGGAGGCAGAAGUGGGGAAUAUUGCACAGUGGGCGGAAGCCUGAUGCAGCAACGCCGCGAGCGGGAUAACGGCCUUCGGGUUGUAAACCGCUUUCGCAUGUGACGAAGCGUGAGUGACGGUAAUGGGUAAAGAAGCACCGGCUAACUACGUG
rnacentral:rRNA from 1 species